GGAGGUGUGAGAAAGCUCUCUUUUCAAUUCAAAGAUUUUGGUCCUGUUGUAGUGCCAUAUCUGGCCUGGAGUUAGGACCAUAUACUCUGUGCAGUAUCAGAAUACUGCACACUUUCAGCAAUUUGAGGGGAGAGGGAGGCAGUUAACCAAGAAAUUACCAUGUUAUUGCACCUAUCCCAUAACCUUUGUUGAGCCACAUUAAUGGCUGGUCGGGAGCAUGUGCCAUCAACAAAACCAAUUUUGUUUUUAGCAGAUAAUGCAACAAUCAUUUUUCUCCUCCAACCCCCAUAACCACU
rnacentral:lncRNA from 1 species